CAAAAAGCUGAAAAAGCUGAGCGCCACAGACCAAAAAGAGCCCCCCCCCCUCCACAUCAUCUUCUCCAAACGACCCUAGCUCUCUUCUACUAGAACAAAGCCAAAGACCCUCCCUGUCAUUCAUCUCUCGAGAGCAGCCAUGAAAAAGGAAUUUAAUAAAUAAGGACAUAAAGCUUCAGCAGCCAUAUACCCAAACCCCACCCCCAACGAGCUUCUUCUUCACAAACCAACGACCCCCGUUCCCUUUCUUCAUCUUCUCCAACGCCUAAGAAUAGCAGCCAUAGCCAUCAACACAACCAAGAAGACCACCCUUUUCAGUUUGCAACCCGUGGAGUUUACUUCAAGCCAUCUCUGUCAUCGAGGUCUCAGUUUAAAUCAGCCGAGUUCGAGUUUGCUGUGGAAAUCGUGGUUUAAUUUUUCCGGCAGAGGUUCCGCUUGCUCGGGAGAUUCUGUUUUCAUGCACUUCGUUGUUUAGAGGUUCUUUUCUUGGUUUUCACUUCCUUCCUUGUCUAUAUUAUGUUCUUGUCAAUGUUUAAAUGAAUGGUUUUGGAUUUCUUAUUUAUUUAUUUAUUUUAGUAUGAAGAUGCUUUAAUGUGCUCUAAUGGUGAUUAAUUUGAUAUACCUGAGGAAAGAAAAAUAUUUUGUAGGCACACCACUACUUUCUUCCUUCGGAUUGAAUGUGUUUCCUAUGUAAAAUGUGUAUAAGUAACAAUUUUCUCAAUUGUAAUUGGUAAAUUCAUUGCACUCUGUACUAUUGCAAUUUUGAGUGCUUUAAAACUUAACCAUAUUCUUCGAAGAAGCCCAAGGCUUUACCAAAAGUUGCCCGUCUCAAAGCUAAUGGGUCGAUACUCCUGUGCCAAGGAGCUUUGUCUUGUGAAACCAGAUGAUUUUUUUCUUUUAAAUAGCAACAUUUACUAGAGGUUUUGACUCUUUAAUUUGAUUUCUGUUUUCAAAAUAUGCUCACUCUUGCUAUGUCAUUAUCUCCUUAGGUGCGCAUUUUAAAAUAUUAGAUAAAUAUGCGUAUUUUAAUAAUUACCCUCCUUAAUUUGGGUGCGCAUUUAUGUGACCCAAAUCCAAAUCUCAAUAAUAUUAGAUAAAAUAUGUUGCGGACCAAUGGGUGCAUUUAUGUGACGUGGUUCAAGACGUAUUUUUGAUAACGUUGAAUUUCUCUUAAAAAUUAAUUAAACAAAAGUGGUUAUAAAAGUUAAAAUUGCACCAUAGGCUAAAACAUGUAUUCAUAUCAGAUAAUAGGCUAAUUAUAACAGUUGAGCGACCGUGCUAGAACCACGGAACUCGAAAAUGCCUAACACCUUCUCCCGGAUUAACGGAAUUCCUUACCCGGAUUUUUGGUUCGCGGACUGUAAUACCUAGUCAAUCCUUUCCUCAAUUCGGGAUUUAAACCGGUGACUUGGGACACCAUAAAUCUCUCAAGUGGCGACUCUGAAUCUUAAAUAAAAUAAUCUCGUUUCGAUUGUCACUUUUAGUUGGAAAAAAAUCUCUUAUACACUCCCUUCCAGGGGUGUAGGUAAAAAAGGAGGUGUGACAGUUGCCAUAUAUCACUGUUUUGAAAACUUCUGAAAGAUAUUUUUAUCCGGUUUUACUUGAACUUGGAAUGUAUAAACUGGUUUGACUUAAUUUAUCAGAUUUGGAAGCAUGUAUACUUUCCUUGUUGAGACUACUGAAAAUGAAUUAUAACUGUGUAACUCAUCACUAUCUUUCAGUUCCUUAUUUAUUAUUGUUACUUACUGUGUUGGUUGUACUCACGCUACACCCUGCACUUCGUGUGCAGAUCCAGGAGUUUCUGGACGCGGAGGGUGUUGAUAUUUCACAUAGCUGACUAUCAGAGAUAUCGAUGUAGCUGCAUGGCAUUCACAGUCCUUGCUUCUCCUUCCUUAUAUUUUCUUUCAUUGUAUUUAGAUCCAGACUUAGAUAGACACUUCAUUUCUAAACUGGUGAUUUAUAGAUGCUCAUGGGCUCAGUGACACCCCGAUAUUGGGAGCUAUUUUCCAUACUUUGGGCUUUACCCCUGUUUAUGAAAAUUUAGCUUAUUUAAAA
rnacentral:lncRNA from 1 species